AUUGAACGCUGGCGGCAGGCCUAACACAUGCAAGUCGAGCGGAUGAAGGGAGCUUGCUCCUGGAUUCAGCGGCGGACGGGUGAGUAAUGCCUAGGAAUCUGCCUGGUAGUGGGGGAUAACGUCCGGAAACGGGCGCUAAUACCGCAUACGUCCUGAGGGAGAAAGUGGGGGAUCUUCGGACCUCACGCUAUCAGAUGAGCCUAGGUCGGAUUAGCUAGUUGGUGGGGUAAAGGCCUACCAAGGCGACGAUCCGUAACUGGUCUGAGAGGAUGAUCAGUCACACUGGAACUGAGACACGGUCCAGACUCCUACGGGAGGCAGCAGUGGGGAAUAUUGGACAAUGGGCGAAAGCCUGAUCCAGCCAUGCCGCGUGUGUGAAGAAGGUCUUCGGAUUGUAAAGCACUUUAAGUUGGGAGUAAGGGCAGUAAGUUAAUACCUUGCUGUUUUGACGUUACCAACAGAAUAAGCACCGGCUAACUUCGUG
rnacentral:rRNA from 1 species